rnacentral:rRNA from 1 species
UACGUAGGGUGCGAGCGUUAAUCGGAAUUACUGGGCGUAGAGCGUGCGCAGGCGGUUUUGUAAGCCAGAUGUGAAAUCCCCGGGCUCAACCUGGGAAUGGCAUUUGGGACUGCAAGGCUCGAGUGCGGCAGAGGAGACUGGAAUUCCUGGUGUAGCAGUGAAAUGCGUAGAUAUCAGGAGGAACACCAGUAGCGAAGGCGGCACUCUGGGCCGGUACUGACGCUGAGGAGCGAAAGCGUGGGGAGCGAACAGG